rnacentral:tRNA from 1 species
GGUCUGUGGCUCAGCGGUAGAGCGCUUGUCUAGCACGUGUGAGGCCCUGGGUUCGAUCCUCAGCACCA